GAUGAAGAACGUAGCGAAAUGCGAUAAGUAAUGUGAAUUGCAGAAUUCAGUGAAUCAUCGAAUCUUUGAACGCACAUUGCGCCCGCUAGUAUUCUGGCGGGCAUGCCUGUCCGAGCGUCAUUUCAACCCUCAGGGCCCGUUCGCGGGAACUGGUGUUGGGGAUCGGCCUCCCCCCGGAGGCCGGCCCCGAAAUGCAGUGGCGGCUCUACCGCGAUCUCCUCUGUGUAGUAGCGAUACCUCGCAGCUGGAUAGUGGUGGUGCCACGCCGUAAAAUCCCAACUUUACCAAGGUUGACCUCGGAUCAGGUAGGAAUACCCGCUGAACUUAAGCAUAUCAAUAAGCGGAGGA
rnacentral:misc_RNA from 1 species